rnacentral:rRNA from 1 species
UGUGUAGGUGGCUUGGCAAGUUGGAUGUGAAAGCCCUUGGCUCAACCAAGGAAUUGCAUUCAAAACUGCUUGGCUUGAGUGCGGGAGAGGGAAGCAGAACUCCUAGUGUAGAGGUGAAAUUCGUAGAUAUUAGGAGGAAUACCCGUGGCGAAGGCGGCUUCCUGGACCGACACUGACACUGAGACACGAAAGCGUGGGGAGCAAACAGGAUUAGAUACCCUGGUAGUCC